GCUGGGCGUGGUGGCGUUUGCCUGUAAUCCCAGCUACUCAGGAGGCUGAGGCAGGAGAAUUGCUUGGACCCGGGAGGUGGAGGUUGCAGUGAGCCGAGAUCGCGCCACUGCACUCCAGCCUGGGUGACAGAGUGAGACUCUGUCUCAA
rnacentral:SRP_RNA from 1 species